rnacentral:rRNA from 1 species
AACAAACGCUGGCGGCGUGUCUUAAGCAUGCAAGUUGAGCGGCAAGGAGGAGAGAUCCUCCCUAGAGCGGCGGACUGGUGAGUAACGCGUGGGUAAUCUAUCGUAGGCAUGGGGAUAGUCACUAGAAAUAGUGGGUAAUACCGAAUACGUUCCAUGAGGGGAGUAUUCAUGGAAGAAAGGGUGCUACGGCACUGGCCUUAGGUGAGCUCGCGUCCCAUUAGCUAGUUGGUGAGGUAAAGGCCCACCAAGGCGAUGAUGGGUAGCCGGCCUGAGAGGGUGUACGGCCACACUGGGACUGAGAUACGGCCCAGACUCCUACGGGAGGCAGCAGCUAAGAAUAUUCCGCAAUGGACGAAAGUCUGACGGAGCGACGCCGCGUGGAUGAAGAAGGCCGAAAGGUUGUAAAGUUCUUUUGCUAGGGGAGAAUAAGUGAGGGAGGGAAUGCCCUAUGAUGACAAGGACUAGCGAAUAAGCCCCGGCAACUACGUGCCAGCAGCCG